rnacentral:lncRNA from 1 species
GGAAAUGCAUUUUCAAACUAUUCUCUGUUCCUUUUCUGUACCUGAGUAUGACUUUUGUGUCAAUCCUCUCUGGCAUAAGAAUUUUAAUUACUUUCUUGGUCUUUGGUCUGACCAAGAUUAGAGUGAAUUUCUUCCUGCUGGAUCUUUCCAGAUUGCUGGCCGUGAGGCUAUCUGUGGGAGUCAUACAGAAAUAGGUCAUAAUCUAUUAACUGAACGAUUGCUCGUAUAUCCUUUGUGAGUCCUGAAAGUGCUGAGAGCUUUUUAGAAUAGUCUGGAGAUAAUACCCUGGCCUUGUCCAUGCUCAUUUUUUGAAACAAAGCAGAUGUGGAAUAAUUAGUUGUUGGUUCCAUAUUUUUGGAAGAGGAGAGUAAUUUUAUCCCUCAAAGAAUGCACAAAACAGAUGCAUUUCCCCACAGCAGGAGGAGUGCUGUGCACGGGGGUUUACAGGGAUGGAGCGGAAGGAGACGGGGCAGGACUCGAACGAUGAGGAGACACCCUCAAAGCGGGAACUGGCCACACGACAGAAAUAGAGAAGGCAGGAAAGAAAGGACAGAAGCAGGCAAGCUGGCAAGAAGAAGCGGAAAGGACGCAAACAGAAAGAAAAAAGAAGAACGAAAGCAGAAUCAAGAUUCAGAUUCACGUAGACCAGUGGUCGUAACAGGUAUAUGUUGAUGCCUCCGCGAAAAAGAAGAGACAGGAAAAAUCAAAGAAGUGACAUAAAGUUCUUUUCUUGAAAAAUAACAAGAAAAAAGGCAAAACCAAUGGUACAUUUCUGUAAGAUACAUUUCGGGAAGAAGGAAAAUGAUCUCAUGAGAAAUGUCUGUGAGAAGAAAUCAUGCAAGAAGAAAUGCAGCACAAAGAAAGUAGUUAAAAUGAGUGAAAAUGUAAACACCAUAGACUCUAUUGAUCAUGUCCAGUUUUUAGUGUUUAAAGAAAACAAAUGAAACCUACAUUUUGUGGAAGACCAAGCAAGCUGGGAACGGAAUGAGCAGAUUUAAAACAUUGUAAAGCUCUUUAAUGAUUUGGAAGAAAGAUAACAUGCUAAUAUACUCUGAACUGUUUUCAGUUACAUGUCUAUAAUGAUUUAAAGAAUACCAAUUCAAAAGUAUAGAAAUUAACUGUAAAACUUCAUGGAAAAGUAAAAUGAGAAGUUAAAAACAAACAAAGGCCUCUACUAGUCUGAAAAGAGGAAAAUAAAUUAAAUAAAAAAACAAAAACCA